rnacentral:rRNA from 1 species
UACGGAGGGUGCAAACGUUGCUCGGAAUCAUUGGGCGUAAAGCGCGUGUAGGCGGCUUUGCAAGUCGGGUGUGAAAUCCCUCAGCUUAACUGAGGAAGUGCGCCCGAAACUGCCGAGCUUGAGUACCGGAGAGGGUGGCGGAAUUCCCCAAGUAGAGGUGAAAUUCGUAGAUAUGGGGAGGAACACCGGUGGCGAAGGCGGCCACCUGGACGGAUACUGACGCUGAGACGCGAAAGCGUGGGGAGCAAACAGG